rnacentral:rRNA from 1 species
UGGGGAAUAUUGGACAAUGGGGGCAACCCUGAUCCAGCAAUGCCGCGUGUGUGAAGAAGGUCUUCGGAUUGUAAAGCACUUUCGACGGGGACGAUGAUGACGGUACCCGUAGAAGAAGCCCCGGCUAACUUCGUGCCAGCAGCCGCGGUAAUACGAAGGGGGCUAGCGUUGCUCGGAAUGACUGGGCGUAAAGGGCGUGUAGGCGGUUUACACAGUCAGAUGUGAAAUCCCCGGGCUUAACCUGGGAGCUGCAUUUGAUACGUGUAGACUAGAGUGUGAGAGAGGGUUGUGGAAUUCCCAGUGUAGAGGUGAAAUUCGUAGAUAUUGGGAAGAACACCGGUGGCGAAGGCGGCAACCUGGCUCAUGACUGACGCUGAGGCGCGAAAGCGUGGGGAGCAAACAGGAUUAGAUACCCUGGUAGUCCACGCUGUAAACGAUGUGUGCUAGAUGUUGGGUAACUUUGUUAUUCAGUGUCGCAGUUAACGCGUUAAGCACACCGCCUGGGGAGUACGGCCGCAAG